rnacentral:rRNA from 1 species
UACGAGGGGGGCGAGCGUUGUUCGGAAUUAUUGGGCGUAAAGGGUGCGUAGGCGGCCUGACAAGUCUGAUGUGAAAUCCCUGGGCUCAACCCAGGGCCUGCAUCGGAAACUGUCGGGCUUGAGUAUGGGAGAGGUGAGUGGAAUUCCCGGUGUAGCGGUGAAAUGUGUAGAGAUCGGGAGGAACACCGGUGGCGAAGGCGGGUCUCUGGGCAAUUCCUGACGCUGAGGCGCGAAAGCGUGGGGAGCAAACGGG